GUGCCAGCAGCUGCGGUAAUACGUAGGUGGCAAGCGUUGUCCGGAUUUAUUGGGCGUAAAGCGAGCGCAGGCGGUUUUUUAGGUCUGAUGUGAAAGCCUUCGGCUUAACCGGAGAAGUGCAUCGGAAACCGGGAGACUUGAGUGCAGAAGAGGACAGUGGAACUCCAUGUGUAGCGGUGAAAUGCGUAGAUAUAUGGAAGAACACCAGUGGCGAAGGCGGC
rnacentral:rRNA from 1 species